GACUCACGGUUGUAAACAAGUUCAUUUCCUGUUUCUUGCUUGUGUUGUACCUUGGUUGUACCCUCGAGUUGAUUGUUUGAAACCAUUGAAACUUAAAUUGAUUGAAUGAUUCAGGACUUGAUUCAGGAUCAGGAUGUCGUACUGUGCGGUGGCUACAUGCCGAAGUUACCGAAGGACUGGCAAGUUCUGCACAAAAUCGUUUUUUUCGGUUCCCGAAGGAUCCAGCCACAUGUGCGACCUGGGUGCAUAGAUGUUCGAGGCAGGAUCCUAUAAAUGUGUUGCAGGCAAGGAUUUGCUCAGACCACUUUCUUGAUUCAGAUUAUGAUCCUUCCUACCUUGUGAAAGCAUCCCUGAUGCCAGGUGUGAGCCCAUGUCUGAAGACUGAUGCGGUUCCAACACAGAAUCUGCGCAGUGCUGGGUCUUCGGGACCGGCGCAACAAAGCACUCGGGACCAAGACAGACUACAGACCAAGCUCCGCCCAGCUCAGUCCCAUCCAGCUGGGUCCGCGCCCUCAGCCGGGGUAGGCUCACCGUGCCAUCGCCGAACUGGAUGACCAUCGUGGAAGAGUUCGAGGUCAUCUUCCGGUUGAUGAUGGGUGAUACCGUCGACGGUCAGUCCGGUAUCGUGCAGAGGCUGCUGGCGGCACUCCAGGUAAAGCGUCCAUCUCUGGACGCCAGGAUCGCGAGGAAGCUGGUGACGACGCGGGUCCACCUUCGGAUCCGCUCACUAAACCAGCGCCAGGACGAAGUCGCAGCCGAGAGGCGCGCCGCCAAGCAAGUCCGCCAGCACGUCCGGAGUGGUAAAUCGGCAGGAAGCAGCUGAAUCAGGUGGAGAACGCACUGCGUCUGCCGGCGGCGUCCAGUGCCGACAUCUUUACCCCGGCAUCACUCGCCAGUGUGGAGAGCGCCGUCACUUUCUGUCUUCUGAGGCUGUCAGACAGUUCAGCCGGGCAGCGAGCAGCUCCCGGCGCACCAUCACUGGGAGCCAGGCCGGCCUACGCGAGGAGCGGAUCACUUGUGCUUACGACUUCGUCCUGGCGCUGGUUUAGUGAGCGGAUCCGAAGGUGGACCCGCGUCGUCACCAGCUUCCUCGCGAUCCUGGCGUCCAGAGAUGGACGCUUUACCUGGAGUGCCGCCAGCAGCCUCUGCACGAUACCGGACUGACCGUCGACGGUAGCACCCAUCAUCAACCGGAAGAUGACCUCGAACUCUUCCACGAUGGUCAUCCAGUUCGGCGAUGGCACGGUGAGCCUACCCCGGCUGAGGGCGCGGACCCAGGGCGUGAUCACGCGAGCUGCCGGCUUGGCCUCUCUGGACGCGCGCAGUGCUGACCCCUGUUGAACAGUAAUUUUGGUUCAUUCAUUUUGUGCGGAUUCGUGGUUGCGUGGUUGACAGUCGCUUUUGCUCAUUCAUCUUGUGCCGACUCGUGGUUGCGUUAACCAUUCGUGAUUGCGUUGUGCCGACUCGUGGUUGCGUUAACCAUUCGUGGUUGCGUUAACCAUUCGUGAUUGCGUUGUGCCGACUCGUGGUUGCGUUAACCAUUCGUGGUUGCGUUGUGCCGACCCGUGGUUGCGUUAACCAUUCGUGGUUGCGUUAACCAUUCGUGAUUGCGUUGUGCCGACUCGUGGUUGCGUUAACCAUUCGUGAUUGCGUUGUGCCGACUCGUGGUUGCGUUAACCAUUCGUGAUUGCGUUGUGCCGACUCGUGGUUGCGUUACCCAUCGUCUGUGUGCCCGUGUGUGCGGGGACACGGACCACAUGUGCUCCCUCACUGGAUGGAUAUUGGAUAGACAUGCGCGAGCAGUGUUGGGGUCGUUUUGUUUCCUGUCAUGGAAUACAUCUGUUGGUGGUUCUUAA